rnacentral:rRNA from 1 species
CUACGGGAGGCUGCAGUGAGGAAUAUUGCACAAUGGAGGAAACUCUGAUGCAGCAACGCCGCGUGGAGGAUGACGCAUUUCGGUGUGUAAACUCCUUUUAUAUGUCAAGAAAAUGACGGUACUAUAUGAAUAAGCACCGGCUAACUCCGUGCCAGCAGCCGCGGUAAUACGGAGGGUGCAAGCGUUACUCGGAAUCACUGGGCGUAAAGGACGCGUAGGCGGGUUGGAAAGUCAGGUGUGAAAUCCUACAGCUUAACUGUAGAACUGCACUUGAAACUUCUAAUCUAGAGUAUGGGAGGGGGAGAUGGAAUUAGUGGUGUAGGGGUAAAAUCCGUAGAUAUCACUAGGAAUACCUAAAGCGAAGGCGAUCUCCUGGAACAUUACUGACGCUAAGGCGUGAAAGCGUGGGGAGCAAACAGGAUUAGAUACCCUCGUAGUC